rnacentral:rRNA from 1 species
UACGGGGGGGGCAAGCGUUGUUCGGAAUUACUGGGCGUAAAGGGCUCGUAGGCGGCCAACUAAGUCGGACGUGAAAUCCCCAGGCUCAACCUGGGAACUGCGUCUGAUACUGGAUGGCUUGAAUCCAGGAGAGGGAUGCAGAAUUCCAGGUGUAGCGGUGAAAUGCGUAGAUAUCUGGAGGAAUACCGGUGGCGAAGGCGGCAUCCUGGACCGGCAUUGACGCUGAUGAGCGAAAGCUAGGGGAGCAAACGGG